GACUCUUCGCGUGCCAGAAACCUCUCCUUUAUUGCACUUCUUCCUCUCUAUCUGAUAGUUUGCAUCAGUUUUGCUUUCAAGUUUCAUCAAUUGUGUAAAUUCGGGCAUAAUUCAUAAUUAAUGAUAGAUAUUCUGUCAUGGCUUACAGCUAGCUAAUCGUUGUGUGAACUCUAAAAUUAAGAAUUUUCCUCCGUAUGAAGCCACAAGAUCUUGAUUUGUGCAGAUAAUCUAAUGUUUAUACGUUUGCUUGCAGGCUUUUACAGAGGAUGCUGCAAGAAUGUUUCAAAAAAAAUCGAGGAGCGAGUUUAUGAUAAUUCUAAUGAGGCGAAUAUGUACAAGUUAUGUUCCUGCAAUUAGAUUGUUUUGAUAUUUGAUUGUUUCUUCAUCACAUUGGACACUUUAUACAGUCAUCAAGAUAUUACUUGUUUUUGCCUUAUUGUAGAGUUUCUGCUUUCCGAAGAAAUGUUGUGUGAAAAUAUGAGUGUGACCGGAAUGUCAAGGUAGGCAGGGGCAGCCAAGAGCCAAUUGUCAAAAACCUUUUGCAUGGCUGAUUGUCAAAAACUAUGCAGAUUUGGGGGAAAGUUUGAACCCUCCAUUUUUCGUGAUAAAGAAUAAUGAGUUGAAUUUGUGAUUCGCUGCGCUAAGCUUUCGGUUAUAUUUGUGGGCCGGGAUAAGAAGAUUUCAGGCUUAUGUAUUUCUCUUCCCAGAUUUGGAACAUGAACAAGUACAAUGGAGUGCUUGGUAUCUGGCAAAGCUAGCAGAGAAGACGAUUCAAUAUUUUCUAAACCUCUUAACUUCAUGAUUGAUGUCCCUUUUGGAAUUUUUUAAUUUAUUUGUUCUUACUAUCUUUCGUUCUUUAGGAUAAGCUUGAUCCAGUUGUAGGAAGGCAACCACAAAUUGAACGUUAUUGGGCCGGAGGACUAAAAAUAUCCUUGCCUAAUUCGAGAGCCCGGUGUUGGAAAACAGCUAUUGUAGAAGGAACAGCUCAAAGGAUUGAAAAUGGCGAUGUUCCAGAAAAAUUAGAGGUGGAGAAGGAAUGGAUGUCAGAUCAUUUGUGAUUUCUGUGUGCAUUAAAAUUACAAACAGGAGUACAACAGUUGGAUCCUCUCCUCGUCUUUUGCUUGCAUCUGUGACACUCCAUCUUCUAUUUUGCAACCUCUGCUGCACAUUAGUGAAUUGUAAUUUAUUUGUUGAUUUUUAGGUGUUUGUUUGUUUGAUUCAAGGGUCUUCUUUUGGUUCCGGAUGUUUACGAUGCUGCACAGAAGAUUGGAUUAGAGAGUUUCUAAGCAGUUUAUCCAAGAGUGUGAGUUUUUAAGCAGUUUAUCCAAGAGUGUGAGCUGCUUGUGUCUCUGUGAGUAUGCAUUCUUAUUGUUAAUGUGAUGUUUACGUUUGCAAGUCUAAAGAAUCGUAUACUAAUUGGGUGAAAGAAAUUUAAAAGAUUCCUUUUAACUAUAUGGAUCAGCGCUCUAGGGCUGGCUGGUUAGUUCAAUUGCCGAAGCUAAAGUCUCCUUUCUAAUCAAGGUUGUGGAGUGUGGAGGCCUAGGGCCUGACAGAGCAUAGAAGGAUAUUCAGAAUAGUCGCUGUUUUUAUGAAUUUAUUCUCAAGGACGUUUCUAUAGUUUGAAUACCUUGGUUAUAAUAGAAAAGGUCUUCAUUAUAUUGGCUACAAUUCGACCUCACUAUGCUUCCAUUUUCUAAAGUUAAUUUUUUGUGCAAGUUUAUUACUGAAGUUAUUGCUUCACUUUUAUAUUUGUGAUGAUUCUUUUAUUACUGUGAAUAUGCGAGGCAGUAUUGAUGUCAAUCCAAGAUCCCUGAUUUUUUUACUGAAAAAGUUCUGGUGAUGCAGGAAAUGCACUUGGAGGAUUCUUACAAUCUAGCAUGUGUUCUUACACUUCCUCCCUAUCAGAGAAAGGAUUAUGGGAAAUUCCUGAUUGCGUUUUGUAAGACUUCAGACUCUUAUAUUAUGUCAUUGUUAAAUUUCCUAAUGCAGUGAAUUGUAGUGCGGCCAACCUUUUUGUUAUAGGGAACGACCCUUGAAAUCUAUCAGGUACUCAUUUAGCACCUCAUCCAGUUUCACUUUUGUAAGGUUUUGCUCAUCACUCAGUAUCUCCAAGGUCCUUUCAUUCUGUAGAUUCUGAGAACUAGAGGAAUAGUAAAUGAUAUUUUGGAUGAUUAGUAUACAAUACAAAUGAAGGAAACAAUUAAAUGAAACCAGUGGCACGGGUCAUUCCAUUGUGUGAAUAAAAAUAAAAACCAACUUAAAAAUUAAGACUUAUAAAAUGUUUUAGACGCUGUCCUGACCCGAAAGUAAACAGAGUCCACAAAAUACUAAGUAAUGCUAUAAUUAAUGUUUGAAAGGAGCUUUGAAAUUAAUCAGUGUUAUAUAAUUUGCUGAUUUGUCUAAGAGUAAAUUAUGAGUCUUUUUAUGAGAAGCGGCCACCUCCAUUAACAUGAAUCAUGUUACUAUGAUUUACAUCAAUUGUUAAGAUCUAUAACCACAAGGGAGAACCGAAAUUUUCAACAUUUCUCUGAUGAACGAAGCUAAAUUUUUUAGACUGAAAAGGCACUAUAUCUUUAUAGUUGAUCGUAGAUUUAAUGAGUUAGGGAUCAUAUGGAUCGAGCUGGUCGAUACAGACAGACACAUUAUUCAAAACAAGUAGAUACAGAAAAUCAACAUUCUUAUAAUUAGCAUAUAAACUUUAAUCAGAUUUUUUUACAUAUUGAAAGAACUCAUUAUAAAGCUGAACUGCCUUUAGUCGGUAUUCAGGGAUGUUGUCUACCUGUAAUUUUCCAAUGAAGGAAGAGACAUUCGCAGUUUUUGGUGGAUCGGAUAACUGAAGUAAUGGAAUCAGUGCUUCUAUCACUCUUUUUGCUCCAUAUUAGUUUGUUUCACAUGUGGCGAAAGUAGCUUGAAGGAAAAAGAGCGCUUCUGACUAGGGACAUGCAGGUGAUUCUUAGGGAAGAAGUAGGAACUAUUGGUGAUGAGGUGCUGAAAGCAAAUGCAAACCUGGUAAAGUGGAUGCUCCUUUCUUUGCAUGGCCAUGGAAAUAUCUGGGUAGUUACAAGGUACUAGCUAGAAUGCUCUUAUUCUUUUUUAGCUUCUUUUUUGAUGUACUAGGCAACACAAUAGAUGAGACUUGCUGCAAAACUAUAAAACAGUCUUGGUCGGAAUAGACAAAGCUGCUGCAGAUCCCAGCGAACUAUUGCAUCUCUCACAAUUAUUUGUAACAUGCAGACCUCUGAACUCUUCUCAACAACUAAAAGACUUCCUAGCACUUUCAUUCAUUGAGUCUGCUCAGUAUGAUUUUCCUAUAACAAAAUAUGUACGGAGAGUAUGCAACGCUGUUGACGGAGCAGCAGAAAGUACUGAUAUUCUUGGCAGAAUUGCGACUGGCUUCAAUGUUUCUGCUCUAGGAGGGAUUUUCGGAAGAUCAUGCAACUCUAUUUUUGACAUCCAAUCCAUCAAUAACAGUUGUGGAUGGGCAUGGCAGGUACUUUGUGCAACAUAUGUUCUUCUGGUUCAACCUUUUCAGUAUUUAUGUUAUGUAGAUCAGAGUUGCCGCAGAGUUCAAAUGAAAUUCUCAUGAACUCGGUAUAGUUUCUUCUCGUUUUCAUUCAUCCUUUUCCCAAGCAAUGUAAAGAACUGGUAAUGCCAGUAGGAUCUGCUGCAAAUGAUACAAUGUUCGGAGAAUGGCCUUUUAAUAUUAAAAACCUUGAUAGAAA